rnacentral:rRNA from 1 species
GGUGAGGAUGACGUCAAGUCAGCAUGACCUUUAUGUCCUGGGCUACACACACGCUACAAUGGGCAGCACAACAGGUAGCGAAGCCGCGAGGCGGAGCCAAUCCUCCAAAGCUGUCCUCAGUUCAGAUUGCAGGCUGCAACUCGCCUGCAUGAAGAUGGAGUUGCUAGUAAACGCGCGUCAGCUAUAGUGCGUUGAAUACGUUCCCGGGUCUU